UAUCUCUGUAGAGUCUGCAUAUCAAUAAGCGGAGGAAAAGAAACUAACUAGGAUUCCCUAGUAACGGCGAGUGAAGCGGGAAGAGCUCAAAUUUGAAAUCUUAAAGGUUUACCUUGACGAAUUGUAGUUUAAAGAAGUGUUUUCUGUUGAGUGUUCUGGUAAAAGUUCUUUGGAAUAGGACAUCAUAGAGGGUGAGAAUCCCGUAUUUGACCGUUAUUUUCAGCUGUGUGAUACACUUUCAAAGAGUCGGAUUGUUUGGGAAUGCAGUCCAAAAUGGGUGGUAAAUUUCAUCUAAAGCUAAAUAUUGGCGAGAGACCGAUAGCGAACAAGUACCGUGAGGGAAAGAUGAAAAGAACUUUGAAAAGAGAGUUAAACAGUACGUGAAAUUGUCAAAAGGGAAGCGUUUGACACCAGUGUUGUUUUCUCGAAAAUCAAUUAAAAAUGGCUUGAUUUUGUGUUGUAUUGACCUUAAAAGCUUUCUUCACUUUUUUCAUGUCUUUUUUAAUGCACUUUUCGUUUAACAAGUCAACAUCAGUUUCUUUUGUCGUAAAAAGGUCAUUGGAAGGUGGCUUUCUUUUCGGAGAAAGUGUUUAUAGCCUUUGACUUCUGCAAUCGGAGAGGCUGAGGUCUGCAGCGUAGAUCCUUCUGGAUUAGAUUCAUUUGUGCUAAGUUACAACCGUUUAUAGACAACUUGUUGACUAUAUUCGAUCCUGUAGCUUACUCGCUUAUGUAAUUUUACCUACGCUUAGGAUGUUGAUAUGCAUGACUGAUAU
rnacentral:rRNA from 1 species